GGCCUGGAACCUAUUUGGCAAUCAUGGGAGUUCAUUCGUCCUAUAAGAGGAUCUCUUCCAGGUUUACCCCAGUGUGACAUUCAAGGGGAGUGUCUGUGUUCUUAUCCUUCCAGGGUGACCUCAUAGAAGGAUGCAAGGCACUUUGUUUUGCUCAACUUGGGGCUCACUUGGCAGGUAUACUGAGGAUUGAGUCUGAGAUCAGAAGAUAACCAUGGAAAGCAUUAAGAGAUGUCCAAAGGACACACAGAAAUACAACAAUGAUAAAAAGCCAGGCAGCAUGACUCUUCCAUAAGAUCAUUGCUCUUCAAUGAGUGAGUCCAAAGGUACUGGAAUGAAUAAAAUGGCAGAUGAAAAUUCAAAAUUUCACUUGUAAAGGUGACCAGUAUCUUAAUAGAUGAUCAGAAAGAAGCAGAUGGAUGAAGUAAGAACCUGGAAAAGGAAAGCCACAUGGAUGCAAAAGCAAAGAUCUGAUAUUUGAAAAAUAAUAAAAUGUUGGAAAUGAUUCAGUAAAUCAAAUAAAAAUGCAGUGGAAAGUGACAUCGAUGGACUCGACAAUUAACAAGAAAAUCUCUCCAGGAUGGAGGACAAGACAACAUAUUCUAUAUUCAGGGACUUCAGCCUAUGGAAUGAUUCCCGCAAUUUGGGUGGAUCUUCUCAUCUCAGUUUACGUAAUCUAGAAAAUCUCCCUUAGAGGUGUGUUUCCAUCGUUGUUCUAAAUCCUGCCAAACUGACAAUAAAGA